AUUGAACGCUGGCGGCAGGCCUAACACAUGCAAGUCGAACGGUAGCACAAAGGAGCUUGCUCCUUGGGCGACGAGUGGCGGACGGGUGAGUAAUGUCUGGGAAACUGCCUGAUGGAGGGGGAUAACUACUGGAAACGGUAGCUAAUACCGCAUAACGUCGCAAGACCAAAGAGGGGGACCUUCGGGCCUCUUGCCAUCAGAUGUGCCCAGAUGGGAUUAGCUAGUAGGUGGGGUAAUGGCUCACCUAGGCGACGAUCCCUAGCUGGUCUGAGAGGAUGACCAGGCACACUGGAACUGAGACACGGUCCAGACGCCUACAGGAGGCAGCAGUGGGGAUUAUUGCACAAUGGGCGCAAGCCUGAUGCAGCCAUGCCGCGUGUAUGAAGAAGGCCUUCGGGUUGUAAAGUACUUUCAGCGGGGAGGAAGGUGAUACGGUUAAUAACCGUGUCAAUUGACGUUACCCGCAGAAGAAGCACCGGCUAACUCCGUGCCAGCCGCCGCCGUAA
rnacentral:rRNA from 1 species